CAAAAGCCUGCAGGGGAGAAGAUACUUGCAAUGAAGAAUAUGCAAUGAGAGAAGAGAUGAAGGACCGGACAUGCCGUGAUCUUGUCAACAUCAUUGUUGCUGAUAUGGUGGAAGAGUAUGGGUCUUGCAGGACUUUGAGCUGUUGUUUGGAGCUGAGACUUCUUCAAAACUCCUUGAGAAAUGGGGAACACUCCUGAAGGCAAAAGUAAUAGAGCAAGCCAAAAACCUCAGCAAGACACCCCUUCUUGACUACCUCAUUCAGUCUGCAGAGGAGAACCCUGAUGAGGAUGAUGAAGUGCCAGGUUGGGAUAGUGACAUGGCCUCACUUCUCCUGCUGGUCUACCUCCUGCCACCACCUCCAAGUGGUAAGAAGGGAGCUGUCAAAAUCAGUAUCCAGGAAGCUGUGGAUCGUGUAGUGAAGUUACAUAAGUCAUGUCGCAGCCUUCAGGAACACUCGGACCAGCGGAGGCAGCCCUACAUCCUGGCAGUUGGGACGACAAGAAACAGCAUCCAUGAAUACUAUAUUGUGAUGGAUAAUGUGCUCCUUCCCUGCAAGGCCAGGUCUUCCCUCUCAGCCUUUGAUGAACUUUUCAAGGCACAUUAUGUGUUUGGUGUCUCCUAUGACCAGGCCUUAAACAGCAUGUUGACAUUUGUGCAGACCACCAUCUACAACAUUAACAUCGGGCUCUCUCAUGAAACUCCCAGUCAAGGACCUCAGGGCAAAGCUCCUCAUCGGAACUUGUGAUGUUUAGAUGCUUUGUGUGCAAAUCCCCUUUUCUCAGCAUUCAGCAGUUGGUCCGCCAUCUCAAAC